UAUAUAAGAGUUUGAUCCUGGCUCAGGAUGAACGCUGGCUGUGUGCCUAAUACAUGCAUGUCGAACGAGUAGCUUGCUACUAGUGGCGAAUGGGUGAGUAACACGUGCUUAAUCUACCUUUUAGAUUGGGAUAACAAACGGAAACAUUUGCUAAUACCGGAUAUGUAUUAAGAUCGCAUGAUUUUAAUAUGAAAGGAGCCUUAAAGCUUCACUAAAAGAUGAGGGCGCGGAACAUUAGUUAGUUGGUAGGGUAAUGGCCUACCAAGACUAUGAUGUUUAGCCGGGUUGAGAAACUGAACGGCCACACUGGGACUGAGAUACGGCCCAGACUCCUACGGGAGGCAGCAGUAGGGAAUAUUCCACAAUGGGCGAAAGCCUGAUGGAGCGACACAGCGUGCAUGAUGAAGGCCUUCGGGUUGUAAAGUGCUGUUAUUAGGGAAGAACACUAAAAAUAGGAAAUGAUUUUUAGCUGACGGUACCUAAUCAGAAAGCGAUGGCUAACUAUGUGCCAGCAGCCGCGGUAAUACAUAGGUCGCAAGCGUUAUCCGGAAUUAUUGGGCGUAAAGCGUUCGUAGGUUGUUUGUUAAGUCUGGUGUCAAAGCCCGGGGCUCAACCCCGGUAUGCAUUAGAUACUGACAAACUAGAAUUAGAUAGAGGUAAGCGGAAUUCCAUGUGAAGCGGUGAAAUGCGUAGAUAUAUGGAAGAACACCAAAGGCGAAGGCAGCUUACUGGGUCUAUAUUGACACUGAGGGACGAAAGCGUGGGGAGCAAACAGGAUUAGAUACCCUGGUAGUCCACGCUGUAAACGAUGAUCAUUAGUCGGUGGAGAAUUCACUGACGCAGCUAACGCAUUAAAUGAUCCGCCUGAGUAGUAUGCUCGCAAGAGUGAAACUUAAAGGAAUUGACGGGGACUCGCACAAGCGGUGGAGCAUGUGGUUUAAUUUGAAGAUACGCGGAGAACCUUACCCACUCUUGACAUCUUUCGCAAAGCUAUAGAGAUAUAGUGGAGGUUAACGGAAUGACAGAUGGUGCAUGGUUGUCGUCAGCUCGUGUCGUGAGAUGUUAGGUUAAGUCCUAUAACGAGCGCAACCCCUAUUUUUAGUUACUAACGGAUAAUGCUGAGGACUCUAGAAAUACUGCCUGGGUAACCAGGAGGAAGGUGGGGAUGACGUCAAAUCAUCAUGCCUCUUACGAGUGGGGCUACACACGUGCUACAAUGGUCGGUACAAAGAGAUGCAAUACGGUGACGUGGAGCAAAUCUCAAAAAGCCGAUCUCAGUUCGGAUUGAAGUCUGCAACUCGACUUCAUGAAGUCGGAAUCGCUAGUAAUCGCAAAUCAGCAACGUUGCGGUGAAUACGUUCUCGAGUCUUGUACACACCGCCCGUCACACCAUGGGAGCUGGUAAUGCCCGAAGCCGGUUUGUUAACUUCGGAGACGACUGUCUAAGGUAGGACCGGUGACUGGGGUGAAGUCGUAACAAGGUAUCCCUACGAGAACGUGGGGAUGGAUCACCUCCUUUCUACGGA
rnacentral:rRNA from 1 species